ACCCAUGGCACCUUGUUGCUGUGUCCUCACAGGGUGGAAGGCAGAAGGGCAAGAGAGCACUCCCUUCAACCUUGAGCCCUUUCACAAGGGUCUUAAUACCAUUCACUAGAGUGGAGCCCUCAUGAUUCAUCACCUCCCAAAGACCACACUUCUUAAUACUGUUGCAUUGAGGAUUAAGUUUCAUCAUGAAUAUUGGUGGAGACCCCACCAUUCAAACCAUAGCAUGAUAACAACAGCUAAUGACUUUUAUUUCUAUGUGCUAAGCACUGUUCCAGGAAUUUUAAUGGACUGUCCUAUUUGAUCUUCAUAACAAUCCCAUGCAGAAAAUAUUAUCCCAAUUUUACAGAUGAUGAAAUGGGCAAGAGAAGGUUAAGAAAUCUUCAGUGUCAUAUAGCUAGUGAGUAAUGGAGUCAGGACCUAGACAGUGGUGCCAAGAAUCUUUGUUUCAUGAUUAAAAUAGU
rnacentral:lncRNA from 1 species